rnacentral:rRNA from 1 species
CCUACGGGGGACUGCAGUGAGGAAUAUUGGUCAAUGGCCGCAGGGCUGAACCAGCCAAGUCGCGUGAGGGAUGACGGUCCUAUGGAUUGUAAACCUCUUUUGUCAGGGAGCAAAGGGCGCCACGUGUGGCGCUUUGCGAGUACCUGAAGAAAAAGCAUCGGCUAACUCCGUGCCAGCAGCCGCGGUAAUACGGAGGAUGCGAGCGUUAUCCGGAUUUAUUGGGUUUAAAGGGUGCGCAGGCGGAAUGUCAAGUCAGCGGUAAAAUUUCGGGGCUCAACCCCGUCGUGCCGUUGAAACUGGCGUUCUUGAGUGAGCGAGAAGUAUGCGGAAUGCGGGGUGUAGCGGUGAAAUGCAUAGAUAUCACGCAGAACUCCGAUUGCGAAGGCAGCAUACCGGCGCUCAACUGACGCUCAUGCACGAAAGCGUGGGUAUCGAACAGGAUUAGAUACCCCUGUAGUC